rnacentral:snRNA from 1 species
UUCUGAUUGACUGUUGAUUUUAA